rnacentral:misc_RNA from 1 species
AACUUUCGGCAAUGGAUCUCUUGGCUCUCGCAUCGAUGAAGAACGCAGCGAAAUGCGAUAAGUUAUGUGAAUUGCAGAAUUCAGUGAAUCAUCGAAUCUUUGAACGCACCUUGCACUCCUUGGUAUUCCGAGGAGUAUGCCUGUUUGAGUGUCAUUAAUAUAUCAACCUCUCAAGCUUUUGCUUGUGGAGUGUAUGGAUGUGGGGGAAUUAUUUUGCUGGCCUUUUAAUGAGGUCGGCUCCCCUGAAAUGCAUUGGCAGAAUGAUUUUGCUGACCGUUUAUUGGUGUGAUAACUAACUACGCUGUUGACGUGAAGCAAGUUCAGCUUAUAAUGGUCCAUUGACUUGGACAACAUAUUUAUUAAUGUGACCUCAAAUCAGGUAGGACUACCCGCUGAACUUAAGCAUAUCAAUAAGCGGAGGCU